AGGAGACAGAUGAAUUUCUCAUUCUUGUAGGCUACCAUUUCUUUUGGCUUAUUACAAAACAACAGGAUGCUGCAGCUUUAUCAAAGUCUACUUAUUUGUCCACUAAAAGUUUAUGGCUAUACGUUUCCAACUAGAACAUCUGAACACCAAUAUAUGGAAUUCUGACAAAGUUAAAACCAGGAAGAGAUCCUAUGAAGGCUGACAUUUUGUACAUCUGUUUUAUAGAACAAUAAAAAUAAGAAGAACAAGAAUAAGAACAGCAACAACAUUUGCAGCCACUGUCUAGACCACAGGAAACCUGGUCAACAACAUAUGGGAUGUCACCAGAUUCAGACUCAGAAGUUUCCAUAAUGCCGUUGCCAACAGCUAGACACAAUGAAGAAACGGCUAUAUAGAGAGAUAAAGAAGCUUGCUCAAGGAUACACAGCCAGAAAGCAAAAGAGUUGGAGUUUGAACUUCGACAGUCUAACUCGAGGUUCUUUCUCUGUGUUUAAUCAGUCAACCACACUGCCUCUUCAGAAGCACGCAUAAUGUAUGCUCUAAAAAGUAAUGUCAAUGUAUUAGGUGUCAAACAGUAAAUGAAAUUUCUCAGAA
rnacentral:lncRNA from 1 species